rnacentral:rRNA from 1 species
GACGAACGCUGGCGGCGUGCCUAACACAUGCAAGUCGAACGGACGAGGCCCCUUCGGGGACCGAGUUAGUGGCGAACGGGUGAGUAACGCGUGAGCAACCUGCCUUUCAGAGGGGGACAACAGUUGGAAACGACUGCUAAUACCGCAUAACACAUUCGGGGGGCCUCCCCUGAAUGUCAAAGAUUUAUCGCUGAAAGAUGGGGUCGCGUCUGAUUAGCUAGUUGGUGAGGUAACGGCUCACCAAGGCGACGAUCAGUAGCCGGACUGAGAGGUUGAACGGCCACAUUGGGACUGAGAUACGGCCCAGACUCCUACGGGAGGCAGUAGUGGGGAAUAUUGGGCAAUGGGGGAAACCCUGACCCAGCAACGCCGCGUGAAGGAAGAAGGCUUUCGGGUUGUAAACUUCUUUUACCAGGGACGAAGACAUGACGGUACCUGGAGAAAAAGCCACGGCUAACUACGUGCCAGCAGCCGCAGUAACAC